AGAGUUUGAUCCUGGCUCAGGACGACGCUGGCGCGUGCUUAACACAUGCAAGUGGAGCGACGAAGCGGGCUUCGGCCCGUGGCAGAGCCGCGAACGGGUGAGUAACACGUGGGUAACCUACCCCGAUGACCGGGACAACCCGAGGAAACUCGGGCUAAUACCGGAUGUUCUGCACUCUCGUAAGGGAGUUCAGCAAAGAUAGCUUCGGCCUUCGCAUCGGGACGGGCCCGCGGCCCAUUAGCUUGUUGGUGGGGUAACGGCCUACCAAGGCGACGAUGGGUAGCUGGUCUGAGAGGACGAUCAGCCACACUGGGACUGAGACACGGCCCAGACUCCUACGGGAGGCAGCAGUGGGGAAUCUUGCGCAAUGCGCGAAAGCGUGACGCAGCAACGCCGCGUGGGGGAAGAAGGCCUUCGGGUUGUAAACCCCUUUCAGUUGGGACGAAGCUUCCAGUGUUAAUAGCGCUGUGGAGUGACGGUACCUUCAGAAGAAGCCCCGGCUAACUACGUGCCAGCAGCCGCGGUAAUACGUAGGGGGCAAGCGUUGUCCGGAACCAUUGGGCGUAAAGCGCGUGUAGGCGGUUCGGUAAGUCCGCUGUGAAAGUCGGGGGCUCAACCCUCGGAUGCCGGUGGAUACUGUCGAGCUCGAGUACGGAAGAGGCGAGUGGAAUUCCUGGUGUAGCGGUGAAAUGCGCAGAUAUCAGGAGGAACACCAAUUGCGAAGGCAGCUCGCUGGGACGUUACUGACGCUGAGACGCGAAAGCGUGGGGAGCAAACAGGAUUAGAUACCCUGGUAGUCCACGCUGUAAACGAUGGGCACUAGGUGUGGGGGGUGUCGACUCCCUCCGUGCCGAAGCUAACGCAUUAAGUGCCCCGCCUGGGGAGUACGGCCGCAAGGCUAAAACUCAAAGGAAUUGACGG
rnacentral:rRNA from 1 species